GGCGAGAUGGCCGAGCGGUCCAAGGCGCUCGUUGUAGGCACCAGUCCCUUCGGGGGCCUGGGUUCGAAUCCCACUCUCGUCA
rnacentral:tRNA from 1 species